AGUGAACGCUGGCGGUAGGCCUAACACAUGCAAGUCGAACGGCAGCGCAGUAAGAGCUUGCUCUUACGGGUGGCGAGUGGCGGACGGGUGAGGAAUACAUCGGAAUCUACUUUUUCGUGGGGGAUAACGUAGGGAAACUUACGCUAAUACCGCAUACGACCUACGGGUGAAAGCAGGGGAUCUUCGGACCUUGCGCGAUUGAAUGAGCCGAUGUCGGAUUGGCUAGUUGGCGGGGUAAAGGCCCACCAAGGCGACGAUCCGUAGCUGGUCUGAGAGGAUGAUCAGCCACACUGGAACUGAGACACGGUCCAGACUCCUACGGGAGGCAGCAGUGGGGAAUAUUGGACAAUGGGCGCAAGCCUGAUCCAGCCAUACCGCGUGGGUGAAGAAGGCCUUCGGGUUGUAAAGCCCUUUUGUUGGGAAAGAAAAGCAGCAGGUUAAUACCCCGCUGUUCUGACGGUACCCAAAGAAUAAGCACCGGCUAACUUCGUG
rnacentral:rRNA from 1 species